AGGGCGGGACACGUGGUAUCCUGUCUGAAUAUGGGGGGCCCAUCCUCCAAGGCUAAAUACUCCUGACUGACCGAUAGUGAACCAGUACCGUGAGGGAAAGGCGAAAAGAACCCCGGCGAGGGGAGUGAAAAAGAACCUGAAACCGUGUACGUACAAGCAGUGGGAGCACGCUUAGGCGUGUGACUGCGUACCUUUUGUAUAAUGGGUCAGCGACUUAUAUUCUGUAGCAAGGUUAACCGAAUAGGGGAGCCGAAGGGAAACCGAGUCUUAACUGGGCGUUAAGUUGCAGGGUAUAGACCCGAAACCCGGUGAUCUAGCCAUGGGCAGGUUGAAGGUUGGGUAACACUAACUGGAGGACCGAACCGACUAAUGUUGAAAAAUUAGCGGAUGACUUGUGGCUGGGGGUGAAAGGCCAAUCAAACCGGGAGAUAGCUGGUUCUCCCCGAAAGCUAUUUAGGUAGCGCCUCGUGAAUUCAUCUCCGGGGGUAGAGCACUGUUUCGGCAAGGGGGUCAUCCCGACUUACCAACCCGAUGCAAACUGCGAAUACCGGAGAAUGUUAUCACGGGAGACACACGGCGGGUGCUAACGUCCGUCGUGAAGAGGGAAACAACCCAGACCGCCAGCUAAGGUCCCAAAGUCAUGGUUAAGUGGGAAACGAUGUGGGAAGGCCCAGACAGCCAGGAUGUUGGCUUAGAAGCAGCCAUCAUUUAAAGAAAGCGUAAUAGCUCACUGGUCGAGUCGGCCUGCGCGGAAGAUGUAACGGGGCUAAACCAUGCACCGAAGCUGCGGCAGCGACGCUUAUGCGUUGUUGGGUAGGGGAGCGUUCUGUAAGCCUGCGAAGGUGUGCUGUGAGGCAUGCUGGAGGUAUCAGAAGUGCGAAUGCUGACAUAAGUAACGAUAAAGCGGGUGAAAAGCCCGCUCGCCGGAAGACCAAGGGUUCCUGUCCAACGUUAAUCGGGGCAGGGUGAGUCGACCCCUAAGGCGAGGCCGAAAGGCGUAGUCGAUGGGAAACAGGUUAAUAUUCCUGUACUUGGUGUUACUGCGAAGGGGGGACGGAGAAGGCUAUGUUGGCCGGGCGACGGUUGUCCCGGUUUAAGCGUGUAGGCUGGUUUUCCAGGCAAAUCCGGAAAAUCAAGGCUGAGGCGUGAUGACGAGGCACUACGGUGCUGAAGCAACAAAUGCCCUGCUUCCAGGAAAAGCCUCUAAGCAUCAGGUAACAUCAAAUCGUACCCCAAACCGACACAGGUGGUCAGGUAGAGAAUACCAAGGCGCUUGAGAGAACUCGGGUGAAGGAACUAGGCAAAAUGGUGCCGUAACUUCGGGAGAAGGCACGCUGAUAUGUAGGUGAAGUCCCUUGCGGAUGGAGCUGAAAUCAGUCGAAGAUACCAGCUGGCUGCAACUGUUUAUUAAAAACACAGCACUGUGCAAACACGAAAGUGGACGUAUACGGUGUGACGCCUGCCCGGUGCCGGAAGGUUAAUUGAUGGGGUCAGCGCAAGCGAAGCUCUUGAUCGAAGCCCCGGUAAACGGCGGCCGUAACUAUAACGGUCCUAAGGUAGCGAAAUUCCUUGUCGGGUAAGUUCCGACCUGCACGAAUGGCGUAAUGAUGGCCAGGCUGUCUCCACCCGAGACUCAGUGAAAUUGAACUCGCUGUGAAGAUGCAGUGUACCCGCGGCAAGACGGAAAGACCCCGUGAACCUUUACUAUAGCUUGACACUGAACAUUGAGCCUUGAUGUGUAGGAUAGGUGGGAGGCUUUGAAGUGUGGACGCCAGUCUGCAUGGAGCCGGCCUUGAAAUACCACCCUUUAAUGUUUGAUGUUCUAACGUGGACCCGUGAUCCGGGUUGCGGACAGUGUCUGGUGGGUAGUUUGACUGGGGCGGUCUCCUCCUAAAGAGUAACGGAGGAGCACGAAGGUUGGCUAAUCCUGGUCGGACAUCAGGAGGUUAGUGCAAUGGCAUAAGCCAGCUUGACUGCGAGCGUGACGGCGCGAGCAGGUGCGAAAGCAGGUCAUAGUGAUCCGGUGGUUCUGAAUGGAAGGGCCAUCGCUCAACGGAUAAAAGGUACUCCGGGGAUAACAGGCUGAUACCGCCCAAGAGUUCAUAUCGACGGCGGUGUUUGGCACCUCGAUGUCGGCUCAUCACAUCCUGGGGCUGAAGUAGGUCCCAAGGGUAUGGCUGUUCGCCAUUUAAAGUGGUACGCGAGCUGGGUUUAGAACGUCGUGAGACAGUUCGGUCCCUAUCUGCCGUGGGCGCUGGAGAACUGAGGGGGGCUGCUCCUAGUACGAGAGGACCGGAGUGGACGCAUCACUGGUGUUCGGGUUGUCAUGCCAAUGGCACUGCCCGGUAGCUAAAUGCGGAAGAGAUAAGUGCUGAAAGCAUCUAAGCACGAAACUUGCCCCGAGAUGAGUUCUCCCUGACCCUUUAAGGGUCCUGAAGGAACGUUGAAGACGACGACGUUGAUAGGCCGGGUGUGUAAGCGCAGCGAUGCGUUGAGCUAACCGGUACUAAUGAACCGUGAG
rnacentral:rRNA from 1 species